UACGGAGGGUGCAAGCGUUGCUCGGAAUUAUUGGGCGUAAAGGGUAGGUAGGUGGUCUCAUUUGUCUGGGGUGAAAGCCUUGAGCUUAACUCAAGAAGUGCCUCGGAAACGGUGAGACUAGAGUCCUGGAGAGGGUCGUGGAAUUCCCGGUGUAGCGGUGAAAUGCGUAGAGAUGGGGGAGAACACUCGUGGCGAAGGCGGCCAGCUAGACCAGUUCUGACACUGAGGCGCGACAGCGUGGGGAGCAAACAGG
rnacentral:rRNA from 1 species